UCAUACAACUUAUGUUAAUGGGCUUGACGUUCGAAGCCCAUUGGGCCUUAAGGUCCAAAAAAACUAUCCCGAGGUCUUUAACGAAUUUAUUCGUUUGAUUAAUUAACAUAUUAAUUAAUCAUUGCCAUAAAUAAAUGAUUAAACCAUUUAAUCAUUCUUACUCAUCUCCAUUGUUUCUUCAAUCUCCUCCUUAUACGGUGUGCGAUCCAUUAGGUUCCUUUUAGCGAGGCAGUGGGCGAUUAAAACCAUUUUACAU
rnacentral:lncRNA from 1 species